AUCUUCUGUUCAGUUCAGUUAUAAGUGUUUUCUUCAAAAAGCUAGGACAUCUUGACUUCUGUAUAUAUAAUUUUAAGAAAAGCCUGCGAGUGGUUUUCCUGAUAUCUUUAUUUCGCUUACGGUAUUUUUCAGGGUCUGUCUACCCUCCUAAAUUUCGAUGAUGAUUUUCAACUUCUCCAGCAAGCCAGCGUUAGCCUGGUCAGUCGAGGAGCCGAAUGUGUAAUGAUUUCCAAAAAAUUCUUUAUAAAUCAAGCAAGUGAACUGACUAAAAAAUGGAUUAGACAUAACGUGCGGUCUUACCCUUCCAGAGAGACGCUGCAGAGAAAUCUUCAGGAGAGAAUCAACUGGGAUGCAUACAAACAAGAUGUUAUACAAACUGUAAUCGCUAGAUGAUAUUAACUUUCAUCGAUUUUGGAAUUACGCAAAGGGUUAGAAAACUUGUAAAAUUUUUAAAUCUCGGCUAAGGAAUA